AAACAUAAAAAAGCCACGGAGGGCAGAGGUUCAUUUCUGUCCAAACCAUCCGAGAGGUGAAACCAAUGACAGCCUGGAGGUGGAAAGGGUUGCUCUAUUGACCGAGGUUAAAAAAAAUAAUAACAAGACCGUUAUCAAGGAAAAGAUGCAGCGUACCUUCUCAUACCAACGACAAUAAAUUCUUCAGGAGCCAAUGAUUACAGAGGUCCGAAACAGAUGGCCAGCAUUGUUUGAAAUUGGAGAAGUAAACUUGGAGUUCAUGCGUAUAACAACUGUUCCGCUGAUAUCAAAAUUCAUUGGUCAACUGGACAAAUACACUGAUGGCCUGGAAAGGAGGCCAUCAAAGGAGGAUGUGCAGGACAGAAAAUCCACACCAUAAUGGCAUUGACAGCUAAAGUAAGUGUGUUUUUAUGUUUUGCUUUUUUUUUUCAACCAGUUACUCAUUUGACUUGACAGGAAUUCAGAAAUCUCUCUCACACGCACACACACACACACACACACACACACACUUUCUCUAUCCCUCUGAGAUGCCAAGAACACAAUCUUUCUUACACAUUAAAUACACAUUUAUUUGAUUUAUUAGUGAGGACAUCUCAGUCUCUUUCACACACAUGCACACAGUCUUUCUAUUUCUCUCUAUUCAAAUUAAAGAACUUUAUUGCCAUUAUUGUUUAUGCACGAUAUUUUUAAAACAUUAUUCAUAUAAAUAAGUUGCUAGAUAAUUAAGAUUAUUGUCUGUGUAUAGUGUUUUAUAAUAGUGUAUUAGUUCACCCCAAAAUAAAAAAGUGUUAUUAACUGAACCUCAUGACGUUCCAAACCCGUAACUUAUCUUCGAAACACUAUGGAGCCCCACACAUGACAUGCAAGAAAAAAAGUUAAUCGUGUGCACAAUUUAAUAAUUCAUUCCCUUGAUUCGCUAAAUCGUGUGCACAAUUACAUUUUUUUUUCUUGCAUGUCAUGUGCAGGGCUCUGUACAACACAAACAAAUAUAUUUUUAAUGAAAUCUGAGAGGUUUCUGUUCCUCUAUUGACAGCUACGCUACCAAUACUUUGACAUUCCAAAAAUGUUAUCAAGAGAUCAUAAAACUAUUCCAUAUGAAUUGAGCAGUUUAGUCCAAAAUUUCUGAAGAAAUUAACAGAUUGAAUUUAGGCUUUUUUUUUCAAACAAACAUUCAUUACCUCACAUCAGUUAGAGUAAACGGAAGCUCAGGAAUUUUUGCAUCGAUGUGCGAGAACCAGUGAGGUUUGUUCUAGUGUGUUAAACAGGUUCGGUUGAGCUUCUGUUUAUGUUUGCUGAUCAAUGUUUAUACAAUAAAAGCCUAAAUUUAGUCUGUUCAUUAAAAAAAUGCGAUCAUGUCUCAUUAGAAAAUUUGGACUAAAAUGCUCAAUUCAUAUGGAAUAGUUUUAUGAUCUCUUUAUGAAUUAUUUGAAGCGUCAAAGUGGUGAUUGUGUAGCUGUCAAUGGAGAAACAAAGUUUUCAGAUUUCUUAAAAAGAGAUCUUCAUUUGUGUUCUGAAGAUGAACAAAAGUUGGACAAAAUUUAUGACAUAAUUGUAAAUUUUGGGUGAACUACCUCUUUAAAAUGUAGCCUUACUUGAACUAUUAGUUAAUAAUUAAUGACGUUUUUUGGGAUCUUCUUAUGCUUGUUUGAGAAUGAAGACAAAAACACCAGACGUGAUUGUAUCCUGAGGUGCCUAAGUGUCUACCUCAAUGAAGACAUCAAGACACUUGUCAAAGAAUAUGUGGACUGUGGAGGCUGAAUCUCUCAUUGCACAGACAACAAUGGGCAUCCAUGUCAUUCGAGCGGAGGGCGCUGGUCCUGAAGAAGAACCUUCAGAUGUUGGUGUUGUUCUAGAAGGAGUUGAAGUUCUGCAAAACCUGCCAAGUGUCACACUUGGAUGUGUGAUGCUUUUUGGACUAAUUGAUGCCCUUAACCUAAACUAUCCAAAAGACCUCAAGUGCACAUUUGAAGCAUUUCAGGAAAUCCUGAUGGAACUGGAUACAACCAAGCUGUCGCCAAAAGUUCAGGGACUGAAAAUUAAGAUGCUUCAGUGAAUCAUUGAGAGAUAUGUUGAUAUUUACAUUUUUCCCCUUGACUUGCACUUUUUCUACUCGUGAGAACCACCACCCUAUUUUUCCAAAUUAUUGCAUUUCACAGAUUUGUGAAAAUGUUUGUGUAAUGUUAACAAGUGUUAGUCAUUGAAUCAGAUUUGACCUGAUUGUUACGUCUACCUCAAGUUUUGCAGUUUUUUUUAAGCACAGUUCUUGAGGAAAAAGUACUGUGCCUGCAGUCUGUUAAAAUCCUUUGCAUUUAUUUAUUAUAGGAUGGUUGUGGCAAAAAAACAAAUAAAUAAAGUAGUGCAAUUAACCUUGGUUUGUUAAGUAAAGAAUGAAAUUACAUUAAUUUUUGUUGAGGUUGUACACAACACAGUACAAGUGAGCAGAGACCGUCUUGCUAGCUCCUCUUUUUGCUGCCUUUUGUGCUUGUUAUUUCUAAAAUAAAAAUGUGAAAUGAAGUGA